AAUAAACGCUGGCGGCGUGCCUAACACAUGCAAGUCGAGCGAGAAAGCUCCUUCGGGAGUUAGUAAAGCGGCGAACGGGUGAGCAACACGUGAGAAUCUACCCUUUAGUGAAGAAUACCCUCGAGAAAUCGAGGCUAAUACUGCAUACGUCCCUUCGGGGAGAAAGAUGGCCUCUUUGCUAUCGCUAAAGGAUGAGCUUGCGUACUAUUAGCUAGUUGGCGGGGUAAAGGCCCACCAAGGCAAUGAUGGUUAACCGGCCUGAGAGGGUGUACGGUCACACUGGAACUUAGACACGGUCCAGACUCCUACGGGAGGCAGCAGUGAGGAAUCUUGCGCAAUGGGCGAAAGCCUGACGCAGCGACGCCGCGUGGAGGAUGACGGUUUUCGGAUUGUAAACUCCUGUUAAGCGGGAAGAAAGCCUUGUUUCUAAUACAAGCAAGGUAUGACGGUACCGCUAGAGAAAGCACCGGCUAACUCCCGUGCCAGCAGCCGCGGUAAAGUGACGCUC
rnacentral:rRNA from 1 species